rnacentral:rRNA from 1 species
GGGGGGACUGGUGAGCGGCGGAGGGUGAGUAACGCGUGGGAUAUGCCCUUCACUACGGAAUAGCCUCGGGAAACUGAGAGUAAUACCGUAUACGCCCUUCGGGGGAAAGAUUUAUCGGUGAAGGAUUAGCCCGCGUCUGAUUAGGUAGUUGGUGGGGUAAUGGCCUACCAAGCCUACGAUCAGUAGCUGGUUUGAGAGGAUGAUCAGCCACACUGGGACUGAGACACGGCCCAGACUCCUACGGGAGGCAGCAGUAGGGAAUCUUAGACAAUGGGGGAAACCCUGAUCUAGCCAUGCCGCGUGUGUGAUGAAGGCCCUAGGGUUGUAAAGCACUUUCGCCAGAGAUGAUAAUGACAGUAUCUGGUAAAGAAACCCCGGCUAACUCCGUGCCAGCAGCCGCGGUAAUACGGAGGGGGUUAGCGCUGUUCGGAAUUACUGGGCGUAAAGCGCGCGUAGGCGGAUUAGUAAGUUAGAGGUGAAAUCCCGGGGCUCAACCCCGGAACUGCCUUUAAUACUGCUAGUCUUGAGUUCGAGAGAGGUGAGUGGAAUUCCGAGUGUAGAGGUGAAAUUCGUAGAUAUUCGGAGGAACACCAGUGGCGAAGGCGGCUCACUGGCUCGAUACUGACGCUGAGGUGCGAAAGCGUGAGGAG